CGAAUGCUGACAUAAGUAACGAUAAAGCGGGUGAAAAGCCCGCUCGCCGGAAGACCAAGGGUUCCUGUCCAACGUUAAUCGGGGCAGGGUGAGUCGACCCCUAAGGCGAGGCCGAAAGGCGUAGUCGAUGGGAAACAGGUUAAUAUUCCUGUACUUGGUGUUACUGCGAAGGGGGGACGGAGAAGGCUAUGUUGGCCGGGCGACGGUUGUCCCGGUUUAAGCGUGUAGGCUGGUUUUCCAGGCAAAUCCGGAAAAUCAAGGCUGAGGCGUGAUGACGAGGCACUACGGUGCUGAAGCAACAAAUGCCCUGCUUCCAGGAAAAGCCUCUAAGCAUCAGGUAACAUCAAAUCGUACCCCAAACCGACACAGGUGGUCAGGUAGAGAAUACCAAGGCGCUUGAGAGAACUCGGGUGAAGGAACUAGGCAAAAUGGUGCCGUAACUUCGGGAGAAGGCACGCUGAUAUGUAGGUGAAGUCCCUCGCGGAUGGAGCUGAAAUCAGUCGAAGAUACCAGCUGGCUGCAACUGUUUAUUAAAAACACAGCACUGUGCAAACACGAAAGUGGACGUAUACGGUGUGACGCCUGCCCGGUGCCGGAAGGUUAAUUGAUGGGGUUAGCGCAAGCGAAGCUCUUGAUCGAAGCCCCGGUAA
rnacentral:rRNA from 1 species